CCAGCCUGGGCAACAGAGCGAGAUCCUGUCUCUAAAAAUGAAAAUACCAGACCUGGACCAGUAUCUCUGCUUGUUCUUCUUCAAGGGCUACCCUAACCGAAGCCCCAUAAGGAGGUAGGAGGUGAAGCACCAUGUCAUCUUAACAGAAGACUGGGGUAUUUGGUAACUUCUCCUUCCUCCUUAAUGGAAGAACAGUCCUGGAAGGCCUCUCUCUGUCUCCCGGGCUGGAGUGCAGUGGAAAUCAUCACAGCUCACUACAACCUCAAACUCCUGAGCUCAAGAGGAUUCUCCCACCUCAGCCUCCUGAGCAACUAGGACUACAAGCAUGCACAACUACACUCAGCUAAUUUUUAAAUUUUUAGUAGGGAUGAAGUCUCACUGUGUUGCUCAGGCUAGUCUUGAACUCCUGGCCUCAAGUGACAGUCAUACUUUGGCCUCCCAAAGUGCGACUGGUGGGAUUACAGGUGUGGGCCACCACCCCCGGCCAAAGCAGAAUAAUUUGAUAGGGACUUUUUUUUUAUAUGCUUUAAGUUCUAG
rnacentral:lncRNA from 10 species